ensembl:snRNA U6 U6 spliceosomal RNA
AGGCUCGCUUCGGCAGCACGUAUACUAAAAAACUGUAACAGUACUGAGAAGAUUAGCGUGGCCCCUGCACAGGGGUGACACACAAAUUCAUGAAGUGUUCCAUAUUUUG